rnacentral:misc_RNA from 1 species
GUUCUAUACAUCAACCGAAUUCAACAUGAAGCUGUUUGUUAUCGCCGCUGUUUUGGCCGUCGCUGCCGCUGCCCCUUCCAGCUACAAGCCGGAAUACAAAGCCCCAGCUUACUCUGCCACCGCCUACGCUGCUCCAAGCUACUCUGCCCCGGCUUACACUGCCCCGGCUUACACUGCCCCGGCUUACGCUGCCCCGGCCUACGCCAAGGAUAACAAAUACACCGGCAUCACAAUCACCAGCCAAUCUGAUGAGCGCAAUCUUGACGGCAGCAGCCAGUGGAGCUACGCCCAGUCUGACUACACGACCCGCGAGGAGUCGCAGGUGCAGAAGAAGAUGCAAGGCGUCGCCUACGACUCUUACGGCAAAGCAACUUACGAGGAUGUGAUGGGCAACACCAACAAGGGAUCUUGUUACUGGGUUUCCCCCGAAGGCGAGAAAUUCACUUUGACCUGGGUCGCUGAUGAGCAGGGAUUCCAACCCAAGGACGACCACUUGCCCGUCGCUCCCGUCCACGUCUACGAACUCCCCGUCGCUCCCGUCCAUGAAUACGAACUCCCAGUUGCUCCCGCUCUCCCCUACAAACGCACCGGACUCGGUUAUUCCGGCAGCAGUUAUUAUUAAAUUAUUAAAUUAUUAGACCAAUGAAUGAUUGAAAGAUGUCAUAUUUGAUGUUUUCUUUGCGAUAAUGUUGAGUGUGAUUACUAUGAUUGUAUAAAUAAAAAUAAUUUACCUUUAA